AUGAGGACUUCACCAAUCCUAUUCAUCUCCAUUGCCCUCAUGCUGAUGAUGUCUUCAGAUAGUGAUGGCCCACAACAGCAAAUGUGUUCCCAAAGGAUGCCAGUGCGAAGCAUGCUGGGCAAGACCGUCGAGCUCGUCAUCAAACUCACCACUGAGUUAGGCCACAUGGACAUAAAACUUUAUUUCAUGGUUUAUGUUUGUGGAAUGAAAUUCGAUUUUGUGGUUGGUCGAGUAAUAGUAGUGAUGACAAGCCUCAAGUAA
rnacentral:rRNA from 1 species